AAUAUUGCGCAAUGGGGGAAACCCUGACGCAGCAACGCCGCGUGAGCGACGAAGGCUUUCGGGUCGUAAAGCUCUGUCAAUAGGGACGAAGUCUACUAAGUAAAUAGCUUAUUAGGUGACGGUACCAAUAAAGGAAGCCCCGGACAACUACGUGCCAGCAGCCGCGGUACUAAGUAGGGGGCGAGCGUUGUCAGGAAUUACUGGGCGUAGUGGACGGGUAGGCGGAUAGAUAAGUCAGGUGUGAAAAAUGUGGGCUCAACCAAGAGAUUGCACCUGAAACUGUCUAGCUUGAGGGUAGGAGAGGAAAGUGGAAUUCCUAGUGUAGCGGUGAAAUGAGUAGAUAUUAGGAGGAACACCAGUGGCGAAGGCGACUUUCUGGCCUAACCCUGACGCUGAGGCGCGAAAGCGUGGGGAGCAAAC
rnacentral:rRNA from 1 species